rnacentral:lncRNA from 1 species
ACACAUUCCUACUGUUAAAGGUGUUUUGGAAAGAUAAUUCAACAACUAUGAUAUACUGUUAUAGUUUUCUUGUUUUGAGUUGUGUUAUGUUCUGGUAUAGUUGCUACUGCUAUAGUUGCUACUGCUAUAUGUGAUGUUCUGAGGAUUUUGGUAGCCAUGUUAGAUAGUGAUUUUCUGAUAUAGCUUGCAAGAAUAAAAAAACCAAACCUUUUAUGUAGUUUUCAACAGUGUGAAUAUUUUUUAUUUUAUGUGCAUUUGGUUAUUUGAACUCAAUGGGAUUCAGAGAUUGUGAUUGAUGAAGAAUCCCAACAGACAUCUUUUUAGUUGAACAAAAAUAAGACAACAAAAAUCUGUUGAUAGUGUGUUUGAGAGAGUCAAUACUUUGUUGCCAUCUCUAAGGACCCGUUUAGUUCUAUUGAUC